rnacentral:lncRNA from 1 species
CCUCUUCCAUGUCAACAUUCAAAAUCAAUUCAGCUAUGAACAGACCAUGUCCCUUCCACUUUGGGAAAAGAUACAACUCAUAUCAGAAACUUUGAUCAAGACAUUUUGAAACUCAUGUGUAACAUAGAUGAAAUCCAGCAAAUCUACUCCAGGGUUUGAGAACAAUCUGAGAGAGAACCUGCAAAUAAAGGAGAAUCGUGGUUCAACAAUGGGGAAGACAAUGGUGAUGUGAGAGAGAGAUAGUGUAGAGAGAAAUAAGAUACUAUGUGGUGAUUAUGGGAAAGAAUAAACUGAAAGAAUGAGAGAGAAAAAAAUAUUAGACAACGUAUUUAAUGGCUAACGGUAGGAAGUGGCCAAAAAUACAUAUUUUGCUAUAAAAACUAAAAGGUAGCUAUAGAAAAUAAUAUUUUAAAAAGAUUUUUAUUUAUAAUAAAUAGGGUGUAAAGCUUUUCUAUAGGAGGUAAAAUUUCCUAAAAAGAUAAAGAGGUACUACGGAGUACUCCCUCCGGUCCACUGUAAGUGGAUUUUUGGCCUUUUUUGUAGUUCACAAUAUCUUAUUGUUUCAAAUAUCAAGAAGAAAUUAAUUUCUUCUUUCCAAGGUUGCUCUUGGAGUAAAGAGCCUAGGAGUCGUUUGUUAUAUUUCCAAUGAGCAAAUUAAGGUUAAUAUGAUCAAUUUUAUUAUUAACUAAUGUUAAAAUAUAAAUUUCUUAAUAUGUGUUAAAAAAGUCAAAAAAUGAGUUAAAAUGGACCGGAGGGAGUACCUUUUUAGCGAUAGAUAGAGUCACAGAGGCGGAUCCAGGAAUUUGGGAGGAUGGAUGCACUAUUACGAAGCGGUGGAUUUUUUAGGGAUUCAAUCUUUAGUUCUACUAUUGCAUCCAUUAUACUUUUGGAAUUAUAAGUUCAAAUUUAAUAUUUAUAUAGUAAUUUUCUUACAUCUAUAUCUGUAUUCUUUACUCCCUAUCGAAAAUAUUGGGAUCAGUUGAAUCCAUUGACUAUAUGCUACAUCAUUCAUUGCUACUAGUUUUAAUAUGCACAUUUCGUUUAACCAUAUAAAUUUUAUGGUAACAAAAGAAUAUAGGAAUUUCAAUGCGUGAAAUCAUAAAAGAAUAAAAGAAUAGGAAUUUCAAAAAGUGACACGUGACAUGUCCAUCUCCCGUGGGUGCAUAGUUUUAAGAAAGGAUAAAUACAUAAGUACACCCUUAAACUUGUCCAAAUUUUUUACAUAGAUCUUUGAACUACAACUUGUUCCUAUUGAACAAUUAAUCCAAGCUCAAGUGUACCAAUUACACUCAAUUCAGUAACAUGGAACUGUGCGUGUAAGACACAUUCUUUAAGAGCGUGAGAGGCCAUAUUUUCUUUUUAAUUUUUUUUUUACGUUCUCCUUCCUCCUACCUCUCCCCUCCUAGAUCUCCACCACCAUAUACCACCACCCUCCGGCAUACUUACUUCUUGCCGCGAUAUACUACCCCUUCUCCUUGCCCUUUUGUUUUCCGUCACUCCUACCACUUCUACCACCACAUUCAUUCUUUUCCUUUCCUCUUUUCUAUGUUCAUACCAUCGCUGCCGCUGCCACCAACUACAGUUUAAUUUAGAGAAAUGCUGAAGGUUGGAAGUUUUUUAGACAUAAUACUAAUGACGCACUGAAUGUAUUUAAAUGCAGUACGUUAAAAAUGAAUUCCAAACAUACCGUGAAAUAUUUAGCAGUGAACAUUAAAGGGAUGUCAUUUCAAUAAUCCUAAAAGCAAAAUCCAAACAUAAUUUGAAUACAAGCUCAUUCUUCUACCUCCAGUUUCGCUUCUCCAACAAUCACUAUCCCUGCUGCUUCUCCAACAAUCACUUCCCAGCCGCUGCCAUGUAAUCCCCAGAAAUUUACAACCUUCCACCAUCGUAUUGUCUUUAAUAUGUUUCUCGAUGUAAAGAGGAAGAAGGAAGAAGACAUGCUAAAGUAGUGUUUCCACCGCCGGCCACCAUCAGUCAAUGUUACUCUUCUUUUUUAAUUUUCACACAUUGACCGUUUUAUUUUCUUCCUUGACGUGUCAAUUUUUCAUUGGUUUGAUCUCCCAUGUUAUUGGCAAGUGAUAUUCACGCACUCUAGUUUAUUAAGAGUUGUCAAAUUUGUGUUCAAUUGGUACAUAUUUCAUAGAGAUCAAAGUGUUUAAUAGGAAUAAGGCUUAGUUUGAGUGUCCAAGUGAAAAAUUUGGACAAGUUUAAGGGGCCAUGUAUGUAUUCAACCUUUUAAAAAAAUAAAAUAAUUAACAUGAGAUUUGAACUCAUAAUUCACUGUCCAGUAAUCAUUGCAUUAUAUGAUACUUUGAGCUUGGGUGUACACACAUAUAUUUAGUAUUUUUAAAAAAAUAUAAUAUUACUAUACAUGAUUUAGGGAGGGGAGCAUGAGUUCACAUGCCUCAUGGAUCCUUCCCUAGAUACGCCCCUGGAUAGAGAUGUUAUCCAUAGGAUUAAAACCGUAUGGUUGAAAUGAAAAAGUUCUUCUAGGUUAUUAUGUGACAGAAGGAUGCCUACCAAGCUGAAAGAUAUGUUCUAUAGAACAGUGAUAAGACCGGCUAUGUUAUAUGGUAGUGAAUGUUGGGUUGUUAAAGUUAGCAUAUUCACAAGAAAAGUGUUCCAAAAAAUAUUGUGAAUUCUAAGAAGGAUAUGCGUCUCACACAAGAUUAAAUGAGAUUAAAAUAAUUAAAUUCACUAGAAGGUACAUGUAUCACACAUUGAUGAUAAAAUAAGAGAAGAUUGUUUAAGAUGGUUUGGUUAUAUCAUGUGUUGACCUACAGAUACAUUGGUCUGUAGGAAUAAACUGCAAUAGGUAAAUGUGUUAAAAGGGGAUGAGGUGGACCUAAGUUACAUGGAAGAAAAUUGUUUCGAAAGAUCUAUAUAUCAUUGUAAGCACUAUAGAUUGAGCUAAAGAGAAAGCACAACGGAAGAGAAAAAUCCAUAUAGGUGAUGCCUACUAAUUGAGAAUAGGUUUUAGACUUGGUAGAUUAUUAUUAUUAUUAUUAUUAUUAUUAUUAUUAUUAUUAUUAUUAUUAUUAUUAUUAUUAUUAUUAUUAUUAUUAUUAUUAUUAUUAUUUGCUACUACUAAUAAUAAUUUUUAAUUGCACUUCUAAUUUAUUUUAGUACUAAUGAUGAUAUAAGUUAAGCUGAACGAAAAGAAUAAAGAUUUUAUAUCGCCGACCUCAAAUUGCUUGGAAAUGACACGUUGUUGUUGUUAUUAUUAUAAAUCAUACAUAGACUAUUUUGCAAAUUAUAUUAUUGAAGUAUAUAUUAUUGACAUUUAUGUUUGUUGAUUGUUUAUAAUCUGAUUGAAUGAAGAAAAUCANNNNNNNNNNNNNNNUGGUGAAACUACGAAACGUUUAGGAAUCGGAAACAAAUUACCAAAUCAAAUAAAAAAAUCAAUUUGAUUUGGUAUUUUGUUUCCAAAUGGUUCUAACUCAUUCCAUCAAGUUAAUUUAAUUAAGAAUGUCAUGCUAGUAGUAAUAGCUGGGUAAUAUACCAAAACUGCUCAAAAGAGGGAAUAAGUAGAUUAUAGAUAGAAUUUGAUCGUCUUGUGCAAGUUAUAUAUAAAGAUCAAUUAUGAAGUACGCUAAAAAAUCAGCUUAGAACAUGAAUUAAUUAUAUAAAUUGUUGAAGAAAGAAGCUGGAAUAUGAAAAGAAAACCCGAAACAAUACAAAAAAGCUAGAUUAAAUUGCUUUUUUAAUCAUACAUUAGCUUUACUCUUUAUUCGCAAAUCAGACAGUGCUGAUUUAAUUUUGAGUAUUUAUUUCUUGAGCUUGAUAAUCCCUUGCUUUAUACUUUAGAUGGAGGAACCAUCAAGGCAUAUCCAUUCACCAACGAACAUUUUGUCACAAUUGAGGUUAGGGUUGAAAGCAGUAAAAACCUCAGAGGUCACACUGAAAUUUUCCAUAAUGCUGAAGCAUGUGUCUCCAAUAUUUGCACCAUAAAUCUUAUUGCACACUGGAACAGAAUUUGUUCCAGUUUCAGCUGACCCAUCAAGAAAAUAAUAUAUUAUUUAAUAAAAUUUACUUUUUAUAAUUAGGGUCAUGGGUCUUUUUGGGCAUAAUUAAUACUAGCAAGGUAAUAUAUUUAGGUUUGAUACUUACAUGAAAGUAUUCUACUUUCUGCCACGUAAACGGAGAGAAGGAACAACAAGAACAAAGCUGAAAAGAACGACUGAUACUUUGUAGUUGGCUCUUGCCAUUUCUGUUGUUUAAUUGCACAAAAACCGAUUUUCUGUUCGUCCCUAUUCCUUUAAUCGUUGGAUUGGUGGAU